UAAUCCCGGGACGAGCCCCCAA
rnacentral:misc_RNA from 1 species